GUUUUAAAUGUUAUCUCUACGAAGAGGAAAGUGAGGUCUAUAUGUGUGGAAUUUGAAAAGGUUUAAUCCAUUUAUGCGGUUUAAAAAGCACUUAUUUCAAUACCAGAAAAACUAUCUUUGUACCAAACGCCACUUCUUUGAGGGUCAUGGAUCUGGACAAAUUCUGGAUUUUAGGGAAUUCGCCUUAGUUAUGAGCCCAGAUAGAGUGAUUUGUUUGCAUAGGCCCAAGUUCAGAUGCAAUGGGGGUCCAAAGUUGCUAAUUUGGUUCCAGAAACUCAAUGAUUUUCUUGAAUGAAAAUAGUGAAAUAGUUUAAAUAUCCCUACUGUUACCUUUUUUGGAAGAUUGGCAAAACUUUUCAGAUAAAAAUUUUAGAUGGCAUUGUUAAAUGGUUUGAUUUGUCACACCUGAGUUCAGAAUAAUACGCAGCUACAUUUGAUGUAUUGCAGUUUCAUGGUUAUGAGGAGCCCUUUUCUUCAAUGCAAAAGAAGUGAGCUUAUCGAUGACAUCUGGCAGAACACAGAA